AUUGAACUCUGGCGGCAGGCCUAACACAUGCAAGUCGAACGAGUGGCGGACGGGUGAGUAAUGUCUGGGCAACUGCCCGAUGGAGGGGGAUAACUACUGGAAACGGUAGCUAAUACCGCAUACCAUCGGAUGUGCACAGAUGGGAUUAGCUAUUUGGUGGGGUAACGGCUCACCUCGGCGACGAUCCCUAGCUGGUCUGAGAGGAUGACCAGCCACCCUGGAACUGAGACCCGGUCCAGCCUCCUACGGGCGGCAGCAGUGGUGAAUAUUGCACAAUGGGCGCAAGGCUGUUGCAGCCAUGCCGCGUGUAUGAAGAAGGCCUUCGGGUUGUAAAGUACUUUCAGCGAGGAGGCGUUACUCGCAGAAGAAGCACCGGCUAACUCCGUGCCAGCAGCCGCGGUAAUUC
rnacentral:rRNA from 1 species